rnacentral:lncRNA from 1 species
UGACCAUGUAGACCAGGUUGGGCGCCUGCUCCCGGUCACCCUGGCUGACCAAGAAGCUGUGGUCAGAGAGGUACCGCAGGGCCAGCCCAGUGUUGGUCCUGUUGCCGCCCUGGUAGCGGAUCUCUCGCACCCGCUGCAGGAUGUCCCCUUUGGACUGUGCCUCGCUGAAGGGGUACUCCACAGUCACCAUGUAGGAGUACUGCAGCACCGUGACGUGGAUGCUGUCCUGGCCCACAUCCAUCCGCUGAAUCACCUCCUCCAUGAACUCCUUGCUCCUGUUGAAGUCGGCUUCACCAAUUUUGUCCGAUCCUUCCAGGACGAACGCCACAUCCAGAACCAUGGAGUUCCUCUUGGGCCCCAGGGUCGAAACCCCCAAGAGCCCCGGGCCCACAGUGACUUGUGCCAUGUCGGGGGGCAGAGUAGGAGGAGGGGCUUCAGGGGCAAGGUCACAGAGGUAGCUAACGAUCUCGUCCCUUUGCUGCUCCAGCUCAUCCACACUGCUCAGCACGAAGGCCUUGUUCUCAGGGGCCUGCUUCUCGAUGAGGCGGAUCUGCUUGAGGUUGGCAUGGGGCCCAAUGCCCACCGGGAUCACAAUGACCUUCUUCUUCUUCAGGCCCUGGACGUAGCGGACAAAGUUCCGGGACAUCCGUUGGGGCUCCUGGCUGGCCAUCAGGAGCAGGGUGAUGCGGGAGGCUUCAGGGCGGUCGAUCUUGCUGAAGAUUUGGAACAGUGUGUAUUUCAAGACCUCGCUGGUGGAGGCCACCUGGCUGCCCGCAUACUUCACCUGGCUGGCAAUGCGCCGCAGCUCUGACGGUCGCUUCCGGUCCUUGAGCCCGAUGUAGGCGUGGGAGCCGUCGUGGUACUCCACCACGGCCACGCGGACCCACUUCUGGGAGAUGCGCAGCCGCUCCAUCAUGUCCACCACAAAGGCCUUCAGCACUUCAAACUCAGCCUCGGACAGCCUGGAGGAGCCAUCCAGCAGGAAGACCAGGUCCAGUAGCCUGCUGCAGUAGAAAUCGUGCAACGGCGGUUCCGAGAUGUCCUCCACAUACAGAGUGGUGGGGCUCACCGGGGCAUCUGUGGGAGGCACCACCAGGCCUCCCGGCUCCUGGCAGGCUUCACAGGUGAGGUUGACAACAUCACAGUGGCAAAUCUGGCAGUGCUCAGGGUCACUGGGAUUCAAGGUGACUUUCUUUCCUGAGGCAAAACGCCGGCCAGCCACCUCACACACUGGACAGUCUUCAGGGUCAACGCAGGUCUGCAAAAGCUCAUCCAGGAUUUUCCCUGGAGGGCAGUGGGCAUGGCAGCCCUCCACACACUGCACAGGGCAGGCCAGUGGCUCAGGGUGCUGACACGUGACUUGACAGGCAGGUGCACAGCUGUUAUAGCGCCACUCACACUCAUACCCGUUCUCCCGGAGAUUCCUCUCCUCGCAGCUCUGGGGGCACAAUGUGGCCGUCCUCCAGGUCACCACCUUGCCAUGCUGGGCACACACGUGGGCAUAGGCAGCAAUGGUGUCGCAGAAGCAGGCGCAGUCCCCAAUGGACUCACAGGAGCAGGUGUCGUAAAUGCAGACAUCCAGAUAUGGCUCGGGGUCCACCAGCUUGUUGCAGUCCUGGAAGACGUCACUGGUAAGGAUUCUACAGGAGGAAUCCACCAUCGUCUGCUUCAUGAUGUUGUUAUGGCAGGUGGCAGGGGAUGAGUCCAGAGGCACUUUUCUGGUGUCAGCACACUGCGAGCUCACUUUCCAGGAGUUCCCAAAGUCCACAGGGUCUUCCUCCACUUGGAGGUUGCUGCUGGUGAGGUCAUUGUUCUGGAUGCCAUCAAAAUUCCCACACAGGCCACACACUUUCUCCUGGUAUGUCUGCUUCAGGACCACGGAGAUGCUCAGGUGGCGGUCCCAGACCACGGAGAGGGCUUUGCCCAGCAGCAGAAUGAUGUACCGGCCAGACUCCACCACCUCAAAGUGAGUCUCAUCCUUCAUGGGCCUCUUCACAUUCACCUCCCCGUCAAACAGCUCAAUCUCUCCUCCCUCCACCAGGAUGGUGACCCGUUUCUUGCAUUUCACUGAGGGGUGGCUGCAUCCCUUAUUCCCCACUAGGAUCCGAAAGGUCCCAGGGUUACUGCCGCAGUAAUCCUGCACCAGAACGUACUGGCACUCCCCGGGGAACAGGUAUUUGAGCCCGUCGAAGGUGAGGUAGUGGGCCAUGCCGAUCGUGGAGCACGUGGCAUCACACACAUGGUCUGUGCAGUUCCACUUCCGGUCCUGACAGACACAAGUGUUGC